rnacentral:rRNA from 1 species
GAUGAACGCUGGCGGCGUGCCUAAUACAUGCAAGUCGAGCGAACAGACGAGGAGCUUGCUCCUCUGACGUUAGCGGCGGACGGGUGAGUAACACGUGGAUAACCUACCUAUAAGACUGGGAUAACUUCGGGAAACCGGAGCUAAUACCGGAUAAUAUGUUGAAUCGCAUGGUUCAACAGUGAAAGACGGUCUUGCUGUCACUUAUAGAUGGAUCCGCGCCGCAUUAGCUAGUUGGUAAGGUAACGGCUUACCAAGGCAACGAUGCAUAGCCGACCUGAGAGGGUGAUCGGCCACACUGGAACUGAGACACGGUCCAGACUCCUACGGGAGGCAGCAGUAGGGAAUCUUCCGCAAUGGGCGAAAGCCUGACGGAGCAACGCCGCGUGAGUGAAGAAGGUCUUCGGAUCGUAAAACUCUGUUAUUAGGGAAGAACAAAUGUGUAAGUAACUAUGCACGUCUUGACGGUACCUAAUCAGAAAGCCACGGCUAACUACGUG